rnacentral:lncRNA from 1 species
UCCGUGUUUUUUCUUCUGCCCUUGUUGCGAUCGGGACUGCAUUCCCCGAAAGGGGGAAAGAGGAAUGACGGGCACACGAGUGCAGGUUCCAUCCACGGCGGCUGCGCCCGCCUGUGAACCACGCCGAACGAACUUUUCCAGGCCUUCCUGGCGCACGCGGUUGCCACGUGGCCGCUGCCUGGCCGGUUGACCCCACCUCGGCACUGCUUUGGAAAACAGGGCGAGGAGGGACCACGGGGCCGGCAGGUGUUCAGCGUGACCUCCCCCGAGCUGCCCUGACGCCGAUUGGGCUGUGCCGUACGCACUCCUUACCCUCCUGCAAUCGGCCACAGCCAAUGGAGGAGGAGGCCAGCCUUGAUUAGCGCGGAAGAUGGCUCGAAGCCGUCAGUCAUCAUUUGGAAGAU